UUAAAUUGAAGAGUUUGAUCAUGGCUCAGAUUGAACGCUGGCGGCAGGCCUAACACAUGCAAGUCGAACGGG
rnacentral:rRNA from 1 species